rnacentral:rRNA from 1 species
GACGAACGCUGGCGGCGUGCUUAACACAUGCAAGUCGAACGGAGCUAUUUAUUUCGGUAAAUCGCUUAGUGGCAAACGGGUGAGUAACGCGUAGGCAACCUGCCCUCAGGAUGGGGACAACGGCUCGAAAGAGCCGCUAAUACCGAAUGACGUAACUCUUCCACAUGGAAGAGAUACUAAAGAUGGGUCAAACCAUCGCCUAAGGAUGGGCCUGCGUCUGAUUAGCCAGUUGGUGAGGUAACGGCUCACCAAAGCGACGAUCAGUAGCCGGUCUGAGAGGAUGAACGGCCACAAUGGGACUGAGACACGGCCCAUACUCCUACGGGAGGCAGCAGUGGGGAAUCUUCCGCAAUGGGCGAAAGCCUGACGGAGCAACGCCGCGUGAGUGAAGAAGGUCUUCGGAUCGUAAAGCUCUGUUGUCGGGGACGAAAGAGUAGACGAGGAAAUGCGUCUACUAAGA